rnacentral:rRNA from 1 species
UACGGAGGGUGCAAGCGUUGUUCGGAAUCACUGGGCGUAAAGCGCGUGUAGGCGGCCUUCUCAGUCUGGUGUGAAAGCCCGGGGCUCACCCCCGGAAGUGCAUUGGAUACUGGAAGGCUGGAGUACCGGAGAGGAGGGUGGAAUUCCUGGUGUAGCGGUGAAAUGCGCAGAUAUCAGGAGGAACACCAAUUGCGAAGGCAGCUCGCUGGGACGUUACUGACGCUGAGACGCGAAAGCGUGGGGAGCAAACAGG